rnacentral:rRNA from 1 species
UACGGAAGGCAGCAGUGGGGAAUAUUGCACAAUGGGCGCAAGCCUGAUGCAGCCAUGCCGCGUGUAUGAAGAAGGCCUUCGGGUUGUAAAGUACUUUCAGUCGUGAGGAAGGUGUUAAGGUUAAUAACCUUAGCAAUUGACGUUAAGCGACAGAAGAAGCACCGGCUAACUCCGUGCCAGCAGCCGCGGUAAUACGGAGGGUGCGAGCGUUAAUCGGAAUUACUGGGCGUAAAGGGCACGCAGGCGGUUAAUUAAGUUGGAUGUGAAAUCCCCGGGCUUAACCUGGGAAUGGCAUUCAAGCUGGUUAGCUAGAGUCUUGUAGAGGGGGUAGAAUUCCAUGUGUAGCGGUGAAAUGCGUAGAGAUGUGGAGGAAUACCGGUGGCGAAGGCGGCCCCUGGACAAAGACUGACGCUCAUGUGCGAAAGCGUGGGGAGCAAAC